rnacentral:lncRNA from 1 species
CCGAACCCGCAACCUCAUGGUUCCUAGUCGGAUUCGUUAACCACUGCGCCACAACGGGAACUCCGAAUUCUUUUAUCUUAGUCUCUGAACCAUUCCUUUAAUGAACAAGAGAAGUCUUGUUAAUAGCUUGAGUAUUUCAAUAACAGUCAAAUAAGCUUAUAAGCAGAGACAUCUAUGUAAUGGCUGGAUCAUUGGCUUUACCUAACCAAGACAAGAAUUAAUCAUCCUAAAUUCCACUCUAAGUAUUUGUUUCAGCUUCUGGCCUUGCCACAAGUCUAUGAGAGAUCUGGUUAGUGUUUAUGAAUGAACUUCCUGAUGGGUAAAAGAAGGCAACACUCCUGCCUUCUCUUAAAUUGUCUCCCUGCAGACUUCAGUUUUCCUGGUGCUUUUGCUAUGGCAGGAUUCUAGGAUCACGAUGGCUCAGAUUAGUCAAAAUUAUUCAAAAAAGGUUUCAUUCACAUCCUAACCCUAUCAAGAAAUGGAUAUAAAAGUGGAUUAUAAUCAAAAUGACAGCCAUAGAGGAGUCCUUAAACACCUCUUCCCAAAAGAUUCUUUCUUUCUUUCUUUUUUUUUUUUUUUUUUUUGCCUUUUCUAGGGCCACUCCCACGACAUAUGGAGGUUCCCAGGCUAGGGGUCUAACCAGAACUGUUGCUGCCGGCCUAUGCCACAGCCACAGCAACUCAGGAUCCAAGCCAAAUCUUCAACCUACACCACAGCUCACGGCAAUGCUGGAUCCUUAACCCACUGAGCAAGGCCAGGGAUCAAACCCGCAACCUCAUGGUUCCUAGUCGGAUUCGUUAGCUACUGGGCCACGAUGGGAACUCUGAUUAUUUCUUUAUGAUGCAAAUCGAAAUCCAGAGAAAUAAGUAAUAUUCCCAAGGCAAUAAAUAAAUAAAAAAUAAAAUAAAAAUUCAAAGCAGGAGUUCCCAUCGUGGCACAGGACAUAAUAAGUAUUAGCUAUUUCUAUAUAACUGAAUUAAAUAAAAUAAAAUUCAGAGAUCAGUUACUAGGAAUAAAGGAACCAUAGAGUUUAUAGGCUAUACACAUGAGAUCCCUGGGAUACGUAAAUAGGAUAAUUCUGGGAGGAAUUUGAGAGAAGUUCCUUCUUUGUUAAUUAUUGCUUUGAAUUUUUUUUUGUUUUUCCCCUGGCAUAUGUUUCCCAGGCUAGGGGUCAAAUUGGAACUACGGCUGCCAGCCUAUGCCACAGCCACAGCAGCUUGGGAUCUGAGCUGCAUCUGCAACCUGCACCACAGGUAGCAGGUAUGGUUCUAAGUGAUUUGCAUUUAUUUACUACUCAAUCUUCACUUAGCUUUUGUUAUUCCCAUUUAGAAACUGAGGCCUAGAAAGAAUGGCACCUGUCUCAAGGUUAUUCAGGGUGGGAAAUAAGAAAAUGAAGAUUCAAUCCCAGGAAUCUGAUUGUAACAUCAAAGUGCUUAAUCACACACAAUAAUGCCUCUCUAAAAUUCUUACUUUGUUACAUAUAUUUAUCAAACCCUGUGAUUUUAAAUAGAGUUUUCUGAGUAGAAAGAGGAAGCAAAGGAGAGCUGUUCAAAAAUGUUAGAAGCAAAUGUUAUCCUGCUGUGUUCAUUUAAAAAAAAAUCUUUCACUGCCCUCAUGAGUACCAAGAAAUGUGUCCCCAUCCAGACAUAACAGCCAAACUGGGUGUUCCAGAAAUGGAUUUGAACUCAGAAUCUUUGAUGAUCAGAGAGAAGAGACUUGGGAGAACCUAGUUUAAACAAAUUGAUUUGAGCCAAACACAAAGCUCAAAUUAAUGGUACAACCUAGAAAUGCUUGCUGAAAGGCUAAAUCUUUGGAUUGUUAUACUAUUUGGAAGAGGACUGGGUUCUGUUAAUAGGACAGACUUUGUGCAACAUAUGUUAAGAAAAAAUUUGGAAGCACUUAAAAAAUACAAGUUGGAAGCACAAUCUUGUAAAAAAAAAGGGGGGGGAAAAAUCCUUAAAAUAUUUUGGAGCUUUUAGGAGAAAGUCAAUAUUAAAAUUAGUACGAAUAUAGAGAAAGGGUUUUAUGAGUCCAGUGACUGUUGUUUUUCUAAAUGUCAGCAUGGAAACCCAAACAGACAGAGGUGAGUUGGGUCCCUGGAAAGACUGACUGGGAAAACUGAGUGUUAAGUUUGUGACGUGGUUGAUGGCAACCAAAAAUUGUGAAGUGCAUGAUGACAAAGUAUUUCCUGGAACUAGGGGCUGCUUCAAGACAUAUAAACAAGGGUAGUGUUGUGGGGACCCAUGUUUUAAACCAAGAACGUAUCUAUAUGUGGCAAUAUCACCAGCUGUUUGGACAGUGUUCCCAGAGAGGUCUCUGGAAUUUGGAAACCAUUCAUAGAUAGUUUGAACCAGGCUUUAUACUGAGUUGACAGUCUUUGCAUACAGCCGAGGAAAAUACCCAGUUUUAAAACAUAGCUUGUUCUCUGCUUUUAUUUUGACAUCAUGGAAAAAAACCAUUUUAAAAACAUAACUUGCACUCUGCUUUUAUUUUAAUGUCAUAAUCUUCAAAAUGUAAUAUUUGACUAUUAACAGAAACUAGGACCUAUUUCAUUAUAGCUUUUAGAUUGUAACCUGAAAAUCAUAUUUCAUUGAGUUCUUAACUUUAAGUCAAACAAACUUAUAGAGAAGUUCCCGUAGUGGCGCAGCAGAAAGACUUCGACUAGGAACCAUGAGGUUGUGGGUUCAAUCCCUGGCCUUGCUCAGUGGGUUAAGGAUCUGGUGUUGCUGUGAGCUGUGGUGUAGGUCAAAGAUGAGGAUCAGAUCCUGCAUUGUUGUGGCUGUGGCGUAGGCUGGCAGCUAUAGCUCCCAUUAGACCCCUAGCCUUGGGACCUCCAUAUGCCUCCAGUGCAGCCCUAAAAAGCUAAAAAAAAUAGAAGACUUCUAGAGAUAUGACCACCUAGUCCAAGGAAAGCAGGAAAUUGUGUUCUAGUUCAAAGUUACCAAACCUCUCUGACCUUUAGUUUUCUCAUCUAUAAAAAGGAAGCUUUGGUCUAAAGCCCCUAUAGGAAUUUGUGGGGUUUUGUUGUUGUUAUUUUUAAUCCUCAUAAUCAAACUCAGAUGUUAUGGACAUGACCUCCCCAGAGCGACUGUCAGUUCCAACAGAAGAGAGGAGAAGCCUAUGGUAUAUGUGUGUGUGUGUGAGAGAGAGAGAGAGAGAGAAAGAAAGAGAGAGACAUCCACACACGCAUACAUAUUAUGUAUGUAUAUAUAAUACUCAUAAGUGAUUAUGAUGCUGAAGAAAUUUACCACACCAUAAACUAAAUAAGAAACUCUCUCUGAGAAAACUAGAAAAGAAACUUACCUAGUAUUCUUCUCCAGAUCAGUUUUCUCCCCAUAGAGUAAGAAAAGCACUUUGCAAAAUUCCUAAAACAUCACCCUAAAUAGAGCUGUGAUUCCUUCUAGAGCUUGGGUGUUCCUGGCUCACAUUUUACUAUUUAGGUUACUAUUUACAGGAACAAUGAAGUGUUUUUGUUUAAAAGUCUUUCUCCUGUAAUUAAACAGAGCUGGAACUGAGUCAACAAUGGAGUUCUAGAAGCUGACAAACUGAAAACGUCAAUAAGCUAUUAAAAACAUGUUCUGUCUAAAGAUACUAGGAAGUUGCAUUGAUCCUGAAUUCUUAAGAAGAGAAAAAGACCUUUAGAUCAGAAAGCAGACCUUAAGGAGACUGAGGAACCUCAGCCCAAUCAUGAUUCUUUGCCCUUAGGAACUCUUUCUGAUCCACAGGCUCAGCAACUUGGCCAUGUAGCGAUUGCAUCCUGUCUAUAGUAUCUCUUAAGUCUUUUGUAAAAUGGAGAACAUUUGUCUAGCAGAGGGCCAGCAGUGCUCAGAAAGCAGACCGGUCUGAUGGCAUGCAGUGGUUUUGUUUUUAUCUGUCUUUAUACUUGGAGAUGGAGGAGGGUGCUUUGUACCUGAACAGCAGAGCAACCUCUACCUCCAUGAAACUUUUAAUUGACCGAAUAAGUUAGUCAACGCUACAGUGAUGGUUGCACAACUUUGGAAUAUACCAAAAACAUACAGUGACUUGUACACUAUAAGUGGGUGACUUAUAUCUCAACAAAGUUGUUAUAAAAUUUUUAGUAUGUAUAGAGUCACACUUGUAUACAGCUCUUGAGUCUUAGUCCAGAGGAAUGAAUCUCUGGAUGCUGAAUCUAGGCAACCAUGGUUUAAACAAACAUUUCAGGUGACUCCAAUGAGAUGACUCAAGAGCCACACUUUUAGGGAAAUCUAAAAGGUGAUGUAUUUCUGUACUUCCUCAAAACAAGAAAAGAAAUUCCACAAAAUUUCAGAAUAAUCAAAUAAACAAAUAACAUAACUACCCUUUAGAAAUAAUAAAUUUUAUUCAAAUUAUAAUUCCCUGUUAUGAAUUUAAAUAUUAUCAGUACUUUAGCAACUGUGAUAAGUUUUUCUUGGAAGUAGGUCAGGAGUCCCCUCAGAUAACUUAUAUGAGCAUUUAUAAGACCACAAAGGAAUUUCCAGUACAUUUUCUUAGUGAAUCCUCACAAAGAACCUAUUGAGUUGUAGGAGCUAUAAAAGCCACCUGUCUUCCAAGGAUGAGAAGGCAGAGAUUCAGCAAGGUUAAGUGUUUUGCCUAAAACACCUAACUGAUAACUUACCAAUCUGAUUGGAUACCAGGUCUUCUGACUCCUAAUUCAGCAUCUUUUCACUAUGAAAAUCUUUCUAAAGAUGCUUCCUCAGCAUGUACCAGCAUGGCCUGCUUCUAACCUUUAGAAGCUUUUGUUUGAGCACAUUUAUGAAGUUUCUAUUGUUAAUGAUGCUAAGAAACUGUACGUCUUUUUUUCUAUCUGUACUGCAAAAAGAAAAUGCACAAUUUGACACAUUUACCCCCAGUUUGUAUAAUAGUUUGAUCUAAAAAACUGAAUUGGUAUAUAUCAGCAGUGGGGAGCAUAUGUGAGUGUGUGUGUUUACGUGUGUGUAUGUUUGUGUGUAUGUUUAGAGAAAGAGUGUAGGUAUGUAUUGCAUCUUCAUAGGUUUGGGAAAAGAAGGCUAGAAUAUUUUUCUAAUGCAAAAUUACCAUAUAAAAUUAUUAAUUUGCAUGUGAACUGUUAAAAGAAACUAACAGGAGUUCCCGUCGUGGCUCAGUGGUUAAUGAAUCUGACUAGCAUCCAUGAGGAUGCAGGUUCGAUCCCUGGCCUUGCUUAGUGGGUUAAGGAUCCGACAUUACUGUGAGCUGUGGUGUAGGUUGCAGAUGUGGCUCAGAUCCCACGUUGCUGUGGCUGUGGUACAGGCCAGUGGCUACAGCUCCGAUUGGACCCCUAGCCUGGGAACCUCCAUAUGCCACAGGAGUGGCCCUAGAAAAGGCAAAAAAUAAAAAUAAAAAUAAAAAUAAAGAAACUAACAUUUAUUGGAUAAUUACUAUGCAAUAAAUCUUCCCUUCUGUCACCAACUCCCGCCCCCUUCUCCAUUCCUUAAAGACAUGCAUCUGGCUUACUGCCUGCUCCAUCCUAGAUUCUGUGUUCAUCUAUUCAGUCAUACCCUUGCCAAUUCCCAAGCUUCCUGUCCCCAUUUCCCUUUCACCAUAGGCACCUUCAGAACUCUACACAGACAACCUGGCAUGUAUCUUUCUCUGUGCCUACUGCUGACCAGUGACUCUCCACAUUUCUCUCUGUCACCUCAUCUGGGUCUUAGUGCUGCCUUGAAAUCCUUCCAACUCCUUUAGACUUUUUUCAUUUUCAUCAACUCUUUGCACAAUGACUUGAUGGCAUUCCCGUCAUGGCUCAGUGGAAUGAACCCGACUAGGAACCAUGAGGUUUCGGGUUCGAUCCCUGGCCUCGCUCAGUAGGUUAAGGAUCCCGUGUUGCUGUGAGCUAUAGUGUAGGUCGCAGAUGCAGCUCGGAUCACAGCAGUUGCUGUGGCUGUGACGUAGGCCGGCAACUGUAGCUCUGACUAGACCCCUAGCCUGGGAACCUCCAUAUGCCACAGGAGUGGCCCUAGAAAUAGACAAAAGAAUAAAAAUAAAAGUAAUAAAAAUAAACACAAUGACUUAACUAUAAGGGCAAGUGGAUGAACUCUCUUCUUUUUUCAUGGAAAUGUCUUCAAAUCUAUAAAAUUAACUGUAUCCCAGAACCCAUCUGUUUCUGCUUUUUCUUUUGCUUUAAGAAUGUAGAUAUGCCUUUCUUAAGGGAAACUCAAGUUUUUCUUCUCAUAUCUUUGUUGUCUCCCUCUCUUCUGACUUCAUAUUUUCAUUCAAACACACUGAAUCUUCUUCUCCCUCAAAAUAAAAACAAAACAAAAAAACUUUAUUAUUCCUAGAUUUUCUCUCAUUUAGUUGCUCAAGUCAGAAGUUUGGAAUCAUUUAUUCCUUUCCUAAUCCACAGUAUCCAAUUGAUAGGAAAGUUCUGGAGUUCCCAUCUUGGCUCAGCGGUUAACAAACCUGACUAGUAUCCAUGAGGAUAAGGGUUCAAAUCCUGGCCUCUCUCAGUGGAUUAAGGAUCUGGCGUUGAUGUGAGCUGUGGUGUAGCUAGCAGAUACAGCUCGGAUCCCAUGUUGCUAUGGCAUAGGCCAGUGGCUAUAGCUCCAAUUCAUCCCCUAGC